rnacentral:misc_RNA from 1 species
UUAAGUUCAGCGGGUAUUCCUACCUGAUCCGAGGUCAACCUUUGGUAUAAGGGGUGUUUAACGGCAGGAGCCCGCCAAGCCGUCCCUAGCGAGAGAUAAACUUACUACGCUCGGAGACCUAGCGAGCCCGCCACUACCUUUCGGGGCCUACGGCAGCCGUAGGGCCCCAACACCAAGCAGGGCUUGAGGGUUGUAAUGAC